CCCCAGAUGUUGCUGAACUACAACUCCCAUGAUUCUCUGCCCAUCCGUGUAAUUCAAAGAAUCAUGGGAGUUGUAGUUCAGCAACAUCUGGGG